AUUCUGUCUUCAAAUCUGUCUUUUAUGAAACCUGUACUAAGGUCAACCGCGAAAUAAAGUAAAAAUUCUCUUAAAUUACUACACAUUUUAAAAUUCUCUCGCCUCAUAGAUAGAUGCUUUGUACAUGUCCAAGUUCAGGUACAGUAUACCUGCUGUUACUUUAUACAUCAAUGUACAUAGUAGGUUCAAGAAUAUUGUUCUGUGACUGUGUACACUGCAAGUUAAUGCUAGUUAUUAUUUGUGCUUGAAGGAAAUAUUGCAUGAUAUACUGAGUGAUUUUUUUAAAAGAGAAUGCAAGAAUUCGAAUGCAUGUGUAUGUUAAUGUAAAAAUGUAAUGUGUAAAGUGAGGUUUUGUGUAAUAAACUCAAAAUUACAUC
rnacentral:sRNA from 1 species